rnacentral:rRNA from 1 species
GAUGAACGCUGGCGGCGUGCUUAACACAUGCAAGUCGAACGGAAAGGCUCCUGCUUGCCGGGGUACUCGAGUGGCGAACGGGUGAGUAACACGUGGGUGAUCUGCCCUGCACUUCGGGAUAAGCCUGGGAAACUGGGUCUAAUACCGGAUAGGACGAUGGUUUGGAUGCCAUUGUGGAAAGUUUUUUCGGUGUGGGAUGAGCUCGCGGCCUUUCAGCUUGUUGGUGGGGUAAUGGCCUACCAAGGCGUCGACGGGUAGCCGGCCUGAGAGGGUGUACGGCCACAUUGGGACUGAGAUACGGCCCAGACUCCUACGGGAGGCAGCAGUGGGGAAUAUUGCACAAUGGGCGCAAGCCUGAUGCAGCGACGCCGCGUGGGGGAUGACGGCCUUCGGGUUGUAAACUCCUUUCGCUAGGGACGAAGCGCAAGUGACGGUACCUGGAGAAGAAGCACCGGCUAACUACGUG